rnacentral:rRNA from 1 species
AGAGUUUGAUCCUGGCUCAGGACGAACGCUGGCGGCGUGCCUAACACAUGCAAGUUCGAACGGAAGUUAUUUCGACAGAUUCCUUCGGGAUGAAGAUGAUUUAACUUAGUGGCGGACGGGUGAGUAACGCGUGAGCAACCUGCCUUUCAGAGGGGGACAACAGUUGGAAACGACUGCUAAUACCGCAUAACGUAAAGUUUGGACAUCCUUGCUUUACCAAAGGAGCAAUCCGCUGAAAGAUGGGCUCGCGUCCGAUUAGAUAGUUGGCGGGGUAACGGCCCACCAAGUCGACGAUCGGUAGCCGGACUGAGAGGUUGAUCGGCCACAUUGGGACUGAGACACGGCCCAGACUCCUACGGGAGGCAGCAGUGGGGGAUAUUGCACAAUGGGCGAAAGCCUGAUGCAGCAACGCCGCGUGAGGGAAGAAGGUCUUGGGGAUUGUAAACCUUUGUUCUUUAGUGAAGAAGGACCAAUGACGGUAGCUUAGGGAGGAAGCCACGGCUAACUACGUGUGCCAGCAGCCGCGGU